rnacentral:tRNA from 1 species
GUAGAUAUAGUUUAAGCAAAAUACUAGAUUGUGGUUCUAAAGAUAGAGGUUAAAGUCCUCUUAUCAACC